CUUGCAGAUGUUGUGGGAAGACUGUUAACAGUCAAUGGAAUUGGCAGUCAAGAGAAGUUUAACUGAAUCUCUGAGUGGCAAGAGUCAGGAGAGGUUUAACUGAAUAUAGAAGGAGAAGAAGUAUUUACAUUAGAAGUCUGAUUCACAGGUCGGGGCAAAGUGAAAAACAUCUGCACUUUUAAAAGGUCACAGUGUUUGGACACCGCAUGAACAUGCCAAUUUCCUGUGUUGUAAUAUUUUUAUGCACUUUAAGAAGACCACCAGAAACAGCAGAGUGAGUGAAUGACUGAGGCGCAUAUUGGACAAAAAUCACUUAUCCAAGACCACGUUACUACAACCCCAGGGCACAGAAGCUAAGUCUUCCUAUUGUACUGAACUCAGUUGACUGGAAUUUGUUCAGGAAAGCAUGAAGUCAAAUGGAAGCUAGUCCGUGACUGGAUUCAUCUUUUGGUAAAAAACGAAGAGGAGACCCCAUAUCCUGGAGGUUCUUGCUUAACCCUGUCCCUAAUAAGACCUAACUUUAUGAGUCUUCUCCUUAGAGGCAGUCCUAGGGUAAGAGUGAUUAUUCCUGUGAGCCUUGUAGGUACUUUCGAAUCAAGGAAAUUAGUAGUUGAUUGCUAAUUAAUUCAGUAUUUAAUGAAUUUAAGUACCUAGGCAAUGAGGCCACAAUAGCAAAUAAGACACAGACCUGUUUUCAAAAAGUAGCCUGUAAAUAAGAUAUUUUUUUCUGCCAUGGUGGCAAAGGCAUGACUAUGGUGAUGAACAUUCAUAGGCUCACCUUCUAGCUCUGUUGUAUGUUAACUGUGUGAACUUGGGUCAAGUUAUGAAAACUCUAAGAACUCUCAAAACUCCUGAUCUGUUUUAACAUGAAAGUAAAGAUAUCUAAUUGAAUUGUUGUGAAACUUAAAUGUAAUGUGACAUCCAAAGAAUGUAGCCCAAAGUUGGAUUUCAGUAAGUGAUAAAUAGAAGUAUUUAAACAUGGGUAUGGUAUGUUCUGUAACAGAAGAAUGUCUAUGUGCUGGGGAUACCUAGAGACAGUGAAAAUUCUGUCUGGCCUGCGAAUUAU
rnacentral:lncRNA from 1 species